UACGGAGGGGGCUAGCGUUGUUCGGAAUGACUGGGCGUAAAGGGCACGUAGGCGGCUUUGUAAGUUAGAGGUGAAAGCCCGGGGCUCAACUCCGGAAUUGCCUUUAAGACUGCAUCGCUAGAAUUGUGGAGAGGUAAGUGGAAUUCCGAGUGUAGAGGUGAAAUUCGUAGAUAUUCGGAAGAACACCAGUGGCGAAGGCGACUUACUGGACACAUAUUGACGCUGAGGUGCGAAAGCGUGGGGAGCAAACAGG
rnacentral:rRNA from 1 species